GUAGGGAAUAUUGGGCAAUGGAUGAAAGUCUGACCCAGUCAUGCCGCGUGCCGGAUGAAGGCGCUCAGCGUUGUAAACGGCUUUUAUUCGGGAAGAAGAGCAGGGAUGCGUCCCUGUGUGACGGUACCGAAUGAAUAAGCACCGGCUAACUCCGUGCCAGCAGCCGCGGUAAUACGGAGGGUGCGAGCGUUGUCCGGAUUUAUUGGGUUUAAAGGGUGCGUAGGUGGCCAAAUAAGUCAGUGGUGAAAUACGGUUGCUCAACAAUCGAGGUGCCAUUGAUACUGCUUGGCUUGAAAUAAUUGGAGGCUGCCGGAAUGGAUGGUGUAGCGGUGAAAUGCAUAGAUAUCAUCCAGAACACCGAUUGCGAAGGCAGGUGGCUACGAUUUAUUUGACACUGAGGCACGAAAGCAUGGGGAGCAAACAGGAUUAGAAACCCGUGUAGUCC
rnacentral:rRNA from 1 species